rfam:Paenibacillus sp. IHB B 3415 contig_104, whole genome shotgun sequence.
GGAUGAGGUAGAGGUCGCGGAUAUAAAGAGUACGCGCGUGGAGAUGCCUAAGAGCCAUCUAUGAUACGUGCCGAAAGGAAUAUCCGCCGAAAUCCGGGCUGCUGCUCUUAGUUUAGCAGCGCGGAUUGGGGCCGUCAGCCGAAAGGCGCGGAACUGUCACCGUGUACUUGCCUGUCAGGAAACUGCUGGAAUUGCACCGUGUUGCGCUAUCUUAACA